rnacentral:tRNA from 1 species
CGCGGAGUAGAGUAGCGGUAUCUCGUCAGGCUCAUAACCUGGAGAGCGUUGGGUUCGACUCCCAGCCUCCGCAACCA